rnacentral:rRNA from 1 species
AUUGAACGCUGGCGGCAGGCCUAACACAUGCAAGUCGAGCGAGCGGCGGACGGGUGAGUAAUGUCUGGGAAACUGCCUGAUGGAGGGGGAUAACUACUGGAAACGGUAGCUAAUACCGCAUACCAUCAGAUGUGCCCAGAUGGGAUUAGCUAGUAGGUGGGGUAAUGGCUCACCUAGGCGACGAUCCCUAGCUGGUCUGAGAGGAUGACCAGCCACACUGGAACUGAGACACGGUCCAGACUCCUACGGGAGGCAGCAGUGGGGAAUAUUGCACAAUGGGCGCAAGCCUGAUGCAGCCAUGCCGCGUGUGUGAAGAAGGUCUUCGGGUUGUAAAGCACUUUCAGUCGGGAGGCGUUACCGACAGAAGAAGCACCGGCUAACUCCGUGCCAGCAGCCGCGGUAAUAC